rnacentral:rRNA from 1 species
UACGUAGGGGGCAAGCGUUGUCCGGAUUUAUUGGGCGUAAAGAGCGUGUAGGCGGCCUUACAGGUCAGCUGUGAAAACUCGAGGCUCAACCUCGAGACGUCGGUUGAAACCGUAUGGCUAGAGUCCGGAAGAGGAGAGUGGAAUUCCCGGUGUAGCGGUGAAAUGCGCAGAUAUCGGGAAGAACACCCGUGGCGAAGGCGGCUCUCUGGGCCAUUACUGACGCUGAGGAGCGAAAGCGUGGGGAGCGAACAGG